AAAUUGAAGAGUUUGAUCAUGGCUCAGAUUGAACGCUGGCGGCAGGCCUAACACAUGCAAGUCGAACGGUAACAGGAAGCAGCUUGCUGCUUUGCUGACGAGUGGCGGACGGGUGAGUAAUGUCUGGGAAACUGCCUGAUGGAGGGGGAUAACUACUGGAAACGGUGGCUAAUACCGCAUAACGUCGCAAGACCAAAGAGGGGGACCUUCGGGCCUCUUGCCAU
rnacentral:rRNA from 9 species